rnacentral:lncRNA from 1 species
CCGGGCACGUCCUUCUAUGCAACGCCUGGUCUCCAGAAAGGCCUGUCUCUGGGUCCGAUCUGACAGGUAGUGGAUGAACAGGCCUGCUGUGUUCAUGGCCAGGUACAGCAAGGCCUUGGACAAGACCUGCACAGGCGAGAGCAGGUGCAGCGUGGACGUGGUUGUGCCAGCGAUGAUGGACCAGAGCAGCGGGAGCGGCAGCAGCGUGUAGGUGGAGAACAGGGUGAAGAAAACGUACCAGGUGUGAUCGCUCUCAGCCCAACUGAAGACGCCCACCAACACCUGGACGGUCUGAGACACCCAGCUCAGCAGCGACAGAGCCAGCAGGCAGAUGGCUGCCCACAGGACCACGAACAGCCCAGUGAGCCAGUCACAGGCGACACCGCCGCGGCCCGGAGGCCACGUCAGCAGAGAGAUGAGGAGGCGGGUCAAGAUGUCGAUGACGCUGGUGACAACCAGAGAGGUGUGCUGCAGUGUGGGAAUGAAGACGCCUCGAACCGUUGAGCCGCAGGACACGAAGAAGUCUCCGUCGCUGAGCGAGUGCUGCUUCCUGCGGGCAGUCAUGCGCGGUGUCAGCGGGUGGACACGGGCUGCGGACGAGCGCCGCUUCUGCCACAGGGCACGAGACGCUUUGUUACGGAUUUGCCUGCACAAGAAGAAACAGCUGCCUCCAGCUAGCCUCAGCGAGUACAGGUUGUGCUGGUCGAUGAUGUUCCUGACGGCGUUCUGCCACAGCAGCUGCUUCCUGCGCAGGCCGGGGCCGGGGCCCACGUUGGCGCUGAAGGUGAUGUCACUCGCCUGCCGCACAGCUGUGCAGGCCCCGUUCUCCAGCGCGCCACAGUCGUCGUGGCCAGUGGCUACCGGGGCGGUGAGACGCUCCAUCUCUGCCAUCUGCUCACAGAGAGAAGCUCUCAGCGGCGUCUGACUCUGGCCUGAGAGCUUCAUAGACAGCGAGCUGUUAUAUCCAGAGGGGCCAACCAGAGCUAGUGGUGAACAAUACUGUAAAACUAUGAGACACGUGCUCGUGGCCUUAAAGGCUUAAAAGAAGCAUCAAACCAGAUACUAAACCACCCAGAGCUGCUGGUGAGAGGAGCAGCUACAGUAUGAGCCUCUCGAACCCGGCAGGGAGUCACUCUGAGACAGGAUGUAUGAUCCAAGCAAACCUCCCAUCCCACCGAUCAGAACACACCAGGGGGUCACUACAUAAAUCUCACGCUUCUGUUCAGCUGAUCAGACUGAUCAGCCAGUUUGUGACUGCUGGACAGAACACGUGUUGCGGUCCAGGUCACGUCCGGGUUUCAGGGCUAAUCCCGUAAGACUACAGCAGUGACCUACUAGCUCCAGGUGUAACUGACUGCUGAUAGCACAGGAGACGCAGAGAUGUUCAGAAACAAACUCCUUCCGUAAAUGGAGCUUCAUAUCAGUGCGCUGAGUGACUUGUUGGGUUUUCUGUACAGUGGUAAGGUCGUGUCAUUGACGUAACUUUUCAGGAUGAAAUAGUUUUUACUCCUGAGAAUCUUCCAUGAAGCUAAUGAGGUGACCAAUUGGUGGGAGCGUGUUCCAGACACAAAUAUCUAUCAAACUACUUCAUUUCUGCUGUGAGUACUGUACCUACCCAAGUCCAGAUGAAGCCUGUGACACCAGGUUCAUGCCUCUUUGGUUGCAGAGGUCAAGAGUCAGUCCCCGCUCCUCUCUCCUUGGUUUCCUCUCUGUCUUUUUCUGUUUUGUUUAGUCGGUUUUUCAUCACAUGAAUUGUUAGCAGCAGUUUCUUUAUUGCUUUUUUGUUUUCCUUUGCAUCAGGCUGGAUUUUACUGUCCAGGGUGAUUCCUCGUCUAUCUCUUCCCACAUUAAUCCUACUCCCUUUUGUUUUCAUUCACAUUCUUUCUAGUCUCUUCAAGGUGUAGAAGCAUCCAGUGUCCAGUUAA